ensembl:lncRNA
UAGUGCUCCUGCUCAGCCAUUGGUUGGAGCCAGGCCCCGCCCCCAAGCAACCAACUGUGAGCAAGGGUUAGUGAGGCAAUGCAAUCAACAGUCAGGGAGUGGUGGUUGUCAGCCAGAGAGUGAGGAAGCAUCUACUGAGAACCUGGUUAAACUCCACAAAAGCGGGAAUCACUUCUAUGCCUGGGUUCUCCUGGAGUUUUAAUUGUCAGUCUUCUCCACACGGAGUUUCCAGUAAUUUGUCAAUUACAGUUUAGGUGUUCCCACCACAGCACUGGUUUCCAUGGUGUUUUCACUCCUGGGCCUCUGUUCAGCACCUAGAACAGUGCCCAGUAUGUAUCUAAGGACUCUGCAGUUGUCUGCAAAUGAUCAAACAAGUGAGUAGCCCAGCCAGACAGCAUCACUCGCCUGAGACUUUGGGAUGUGUCUAGACCUGUGAACAACAGCACGAUUCCUCACAAAGCAAUUGCCUGAGGGACUCUGGAUUUUCAAACGAGUCUCUGCAAACAAGUCAUUUCUAAAGUGAGGAGAAAAGGCUGCAUCUCUUGAAAGAGCCAGUGAGAUUUUGUCUGCAGCGAUUUCUUUCAUGCAAUGCCCUGACUUCAAGCAUGAGGCUGCCACAGAACCAAGCAGAAGGAAACACGGGUUAAAAGCACAGGGAAACACCAGCACGCACCCAGCAGGAUGGUUAAAAUGGAAAUACAGAACAUGCUGAGUGGGGCCGGGAUGGGGAGGAAGGAGCUCUCAUACUUUGAAAAACUGCUGGGCAACCCGUAGCAAAUGCAGACCAUGUGACUCAGCAUUUCCACACCCAUGUAGACCCAACAGAAAUGACUAUACGGGGCCAACAAAAAAUCAGGGCUGAUUUUCAGGAGCCGAUGGUAUCAGAUGCAAAGACAAGAAGAUAAUUUCACUGCGAUUUUGAUAGUGUUCACAAGGGAUCUUGGAGGCUCCUGACACUACCUGGUAGUUGAUGGGAAGGACGGUGGCUGAUAUGAAAUAUCUGGAGGUCCCUUCAUCUGAUCAGUGGGUUUCUCAUUGUCUAAUGAAGAGAUAUGGAAAUCACUCAGGUGGGGGCAGUCCUGAAGCCACUGUUGACCUGCCUCUCCGAAUGUGGUCACCUGCAAUCUGCUUAGAAAUGCACAGUCUUGGGCCCCUCUUCCUGAUCGUCUGAAUCAAAACUCAGGAGGUGGAGUCAGCAAUCUGGGACCUGUUAGGUCCUCUGGUCAGAGCUCUACACUGAAUCACACCAAGCAAUUCCCAGCCUUCUUCUCCACAACUUGCCUUCUCUUCUCAAGCAACUACUGAGAGUAACAGGAAACACCAAUCUGGCAUGACACCAACCAAAAUGAAGUAAAAUACUAUUUUAUUAUGUAAUGGCAAUACCACGUAGGGGGACGUUUCUCCCUAAAAUCACAGAGAUGGAUGGUUUCGUGAAGAUUAGUGUGGCAUGGACUAGACUGGCCAGAAUAAUUUCAGCACUAGCAUAUAAGGAAUCAGAGAGGAAAACAUCAUCCUUGUCUCCAUUCUGCUCCCUACCACUUGGGGUGGGGAGGGGGAAUCAGAUCAGCUUGGCUGUUCAUAAAAGAAGCAGGCCCAGAGUUAUUUCAGUGCGUGGGAAUGGACAUGGGAUAAACUGAAACAAUAAACAACUUGAAAGCUUAAGAAAAUAAAGGCAAGGGAGAGAGAGAGCACCAUCCAAGCUUGAGUUCUGCAACCCUGUCGUAGUUCUAAACAAAUUCAAGCAGAUUGCUUUCUUGCUGGAGUUCUAGUAAAAUGGAUCUUGCCACUGGCAGCCAGUUCAGAGCGCUUGGCCGCAUUUUUGUUUUUUUUCUUGUCUUUUGGCUUAUAGCCAUGUGUCAUUAGUGACCUGUUUUCACUGCAGUGAGAUCAGCCAUGUCUGCAGGCCCCUGAAUCAGCAGAUUCUCCUCUGUUCACUAACUCCAGGCUGGCAAAGCUGAUACCAGUGUAACAGAAAGUGCCACCCCUGCACUCUGCUGAGAGUUGGGGAGGGCACCAUUUUGUUACAAUGUCGGCUUUGACCCGAGGAUGCCCUGAGAGCCCAGCUGUCAUGUCUCCUCAACAUAAGCAGCUGAACUUGGAAUUAUCUUGGCCUAGUCAUUAAUCAGGACUGAAAAUAGCCCCAGUAGACCUGGGCUUUGCUUAAUUCCUACCCACGUGGGAAAGGUAGUUUUUAAGAAAUAAUCUAAUUGCAAGAGCAUAUUUUUUAAAGGCUUUGCACCACAAUAAUAUCCAAAAAUAAUAAUUAAUAAUAAUAAUAAUUAUCCAACACCCUAGUUUGGGAGACAAUUUACAGUUAAUCUGGCUCUCUAAAAAAACAAAACAGUGUAGUCUUUUGAACUGCACAUUGAUUUGAAAUGAUCCAUUUUGGGUGACUAUUAAAAGGAGCCAGAAAUUGUGCUCGGAAUCUUCUAAGAAUACCCUCCAACACAAAUUAACGGAAAGAAAAUAACCAUUGGUUAAAAGCUCUGUAAGAGAGCCUGUUGCCAGGCAGAUUAGACAAUGAGCGGAAUUCCAUAAGGGGGCGCUCUCUCCACGCGUCCUUCAAGCCAAGGGCUCUGCGUUUCUCAGCCCAUAGGCUGCUGUUGGCUUUGCCCUCGAGCAGCAGCGUGCUCCUCCUAAGAGCAAAUGCUCAGUGCCCUAAAGAAUACUGCUUCUGUGAUCACUUUCUGGCUGAGAUCGUCAGGCAAAUCUCUCUGCGAUAUCAGAGAAGCAAUUUCAAAUGAAGAGAAGUCAAGCAAAACAUUCAAAAUAAAAGGAA